ACCAAGAGCUGUGUUGCCUUCGUUGCUAUUAGUAAACUUUUAAAGUGAAUGGCUCGGCUGUGGAUAGAGGAAAAUGAGUCAAACAGAUCCUUAGGAGUAGUGUGACUGCAGUGGGAAGAGACAUGCUGCACGACCAUUCACUGGAAAUUCCACCCGGUCCUGAUGACAUCACUUCCAGCCUCGAUGACAUCACUUCCGGUGUAGAAACCUUCGAUGAAGAGACUUCCAGUUCCAGCCCUUUUGAGGACAUCACGUCCGGGUCCGAACCUAUGGAAGAGGACCCUUCCGCUUCCGCCCUUGAUAAAUUCACUUCCCUUUCUGGCCUUUAAAGCCAUCAUAUUGUACUAACCACAUCAGUUCUGUUUUCCACUCCGUUUUGUGCAUAUUAGUGCUAUCAAUUUACCCUUUUUGCAGCCAGUGUAUUUUAUGCAGAUGCAUUCCUAAUCUCCAGGAACUAAUUUGAUGAAAUAUACAUUUAACCAAUAGCACUGUAACAUUUUUUGCCAUUUUUCUUGAAAUGUCAAAAAACAUAAAGCUUUUAGUACAUAAUUCAACUUCAAAUGCAUUGCAGCCUACAAAUGCUGAAACAUCUACCUGCUUGAAAAAGUUAAACUGAGUUACAGGGGGUUCACAAUACGUUAGAUUCAUUGGAAAGCCUGCAUUUAGCUUUUUCCAGGUUAAAAGAUAAGGCCUAAAUGAUAAACAGAGAAACAUGGAGCUGUCCCCACAUUGUAUUGCUUACACCAUUUAUUUGGAAAUAUGUUUCUUAUAAUAUGAUAUGGGAAAUGUAUAGUUUGUGGUCUCAAAUAUACUGUAAUUUUAAAAAGAUAUAUUUGAAUUACAUGUAUUUUACAUUAUAUUGAAAGAUAUAGCCACAUAAUUUUGGGUAUAUAGCAGUACAUUUCAUUUUUGUAAGACGUACCAAAAAUUAGAAGGAAAGCUGCAGCAAGGACAAUGUCAUUUUGCAUAGUUAUCAUUAAAAAAAAGCUGGGUUGCUUCAGCUUGGCCUUUGUGUGUGUGUGUUUGUGCGUGAGUGUGUAUGUCCACAGUUGGGAUAGAGAGAAGAACCUCUUCUUCUCUGAGUUGGUGGGGCAGGGGAACUUUGAAAGCCAGAUGACCUAGGACUAAAAUUUUAUAAUGGCUUUUCCUGUUAAUUGAAACUACGG